GACCCAGUUGUCAAGUCCGGUUAAGACAUAACACUUUCACUGUUACAUGCGAGAGUUCAAAUCUCUCCUGGGUUA
rnacentral:tRNA from 1 species